GCUCAAUGAAUUUUUAAAUAGCUGCAGAAUAUUAACUGUACAAAGGUAGCAUAAUCAAUAGUUUUUUAAUUAAAAGCUGGAAUGAAAGAUUUAAUAAGGUAAAUAUUGUCUCAAAUUUAAUAACAUUAAAAUUUUUUUUUUAGUAAAAAUACUAAAUAGAUUUUAAAAGACGAGAAGACCCUAUAGAUUUUAAUAUUAAUAUAAUUAAAAUAUUAUAAAAUAAUUAAUAAAUUUAAUAUUUAAAUAUUUGAUUGGGGUAAUUAAUAAAUUUAAUAAAUUUUAAUUUAUUUUGAACAAUAAUUAUUGAAUUUUAGAUCUUAAUUAAAAAUUAAAAGAAUAAAAUACCUUAGGGAUAACAGCGUAAUUUUUUURAAAAGAUCUUAUUGAUAAAAAAGAUUGCGACCUCGAUGUUGAAUUAAGAUAAAAUUUUAUUGUAGCAGGUAAAAAUUUUUGGUCUGUUCGACCAUUAAAAUCUUAC
rnacentral:rRNA from 1 species